rnacentral:rRNA from 1 species
UGAGGAAUAUUGGUCAAUGGGCGAGAGCCUGAACCAGCCAAGUAGCGUGCAGGAUGACGGCCCUAUGGGUUGUAAACUGCUUUUAUGUGGGGAUAAAGUGCGUGACGUGUCAUGCAUUGCAGGUACCACAUGAAUAAGGACCGGCUAAUUCCGUGCCAGCAGCCGCGGUAAUACGGAAGGUCCGGGCGUUAUCCGGAUUUAUUGGGUUUAAAGGGAGCGUAGGCUGUCUAUUAAGCGUGUUGUGAAAUUUACCGGCUCAACCGGUGGCUUGCAGCACGAACUGGUCGACUUGAGUAUGCAGGAAGUAGGCGGAAUUCAUGGUGUAGCGGUGAAAUGCUUAGAUAUCAUGACGAACUCCGAUUGCGCAGGCAGCUUACUGUAGCAUAACUGACGCUGAUGCUCGAAAGUGCGGGUAUCAAACAGG